UACGUAGGGGGCAAGCGUUGUCCGGAUUAUUGGGCGUAAAGAGCGUGUAGGCGGCCAGAUAGGUCGGUUGUGAAAACUGGAGGCUCAACCUCCAGACGUCGACCGAAACCCUCUGGCUAGAGUCCGGAAGAGGAGAGUGGAAUUCCUGGUGUAGCGGUGAAAUGCGCAGAUAUCAGGAAGAACACCCGUGGCGAAGGCGGCUCUCUGGGACGGUACUGACGCUGAGACGCGAAAGCGUGGGGAGCGAACAGG
rnacentral:rRNA from 1 species